GGGGUUGUGGCUCAGUGGUAGAGCGCUUGCCUACCAGGUAUGAGGCCUGUGUUCAAUUCUCAGCACCG
rnacentral:tRNA from 1 species